CACGUAGGGGGCGAGCGUUGUCCGGAUUUAUUGGGCGUAAAGAGCUCGUAGGCGGCUCGGUAAGUGAGGUGUGAAAACUCCAGGCUCAACCUGGAGACGCCACCUCAUACUGCCGUGGCUAGAGUCCGGUAGGGGAGCAUGGAAUUCCUGGUGUAGCGGUGAAAUGCGCAGAUAUCAGGAGGAACACCAGUGGCGAAGGCGGCUUCCUGGCCUGUUCUUGACGCUGAGGCGCGAAAGCUAGGGGAGCAAACGGGG
rnacentral:rRNA from 1 species